GCCCUUCUCAAUUCUCAUAAGCAUACAUAUCAGUCGAGACAGUUUUUCUCCAACGUCAGUUAAUAAAAUGAUCCAAACAAUGGGAGUCAUUGCUACAUAUCUGAGAGGCCAAUGCAUGUGCCAGAUGCCUAUGCAAAAUUGUCGGUUAUACAAGUAUUGUACAUUUCAAGGAAGAAUCAUCGCUGGCUUUUACCAUUUGAAACCCUGAAACAAAAGAGAAGAUUAGGCAACCCUGAGGCUGAUUUCGUUUGUCGCUAAUAGGGAGAAAAAGUCACUCUAUUUCUCGUGAGUAAUUUUCCCAAACAGCUAAACGGUGCAUUUUUUGUAAAAAUAAAAUUCUAUAGAAAAGUUAGUUUAGAAAAUUGUAGUCAUCUAUUUGUCAAGUUUAAAUAAUUAAUACUCAAUUAAUCAUGCACUAAUGUCUUAUCUUGGUUUCCGUGAUCUUCUCUUUCACUCAAACUGAGCCUGAAACCCUGAAAAUGGUCGAGAGAUUUCUAUUAUAGCUCAUCAAAAAAGAAGAUAAAUGGAGAACUGUAUCUCCAUGAACAUGUGACUAAGGAAAACUUUUCACAAAAAUUAGGCAGCAUAGAAGUGUUUGUAUCAAUUAUCUUAUGUGGAAAGCACCCAGCUUCUUUAUUCAGAGAAUGUGCCCCCAAGAUCCAUCUUCCUUGCCUGACUGAAGACAAAAACAAAAAUAUACUGACUGAACAGAGCUAAAUAAUGAAUACUUGUUGUAGACAAAUAUGCAUGUAUGGUCUGUUCUUACAGGGAUUUCCACCAAACAAGUAUACAUGGUCCAUCUUUCCCAAGGACCUAUCUAUGCGCCCAAAACAACAUUCUCCAAGUAAUGAAUUGCAUGUUAGACUGGUCUUCAUCAAAUCCCUUAAACAAGACAUUAUGUGUGCAAUUGUCCUUGAUGCAUUUCAGAACACAGCCUUAUAGCCUCUGCUCAGUUACCUUCUUCACAGUUCCCAUAUAUCAGCAAAGUGUGUGUGUGUGUGUGUGUGUGUUUGGCGCCAAUCCCAUUACAUCAAAGUGCAAGUUGAGAAGAAUUAGCACUCAUGCAAGUAAUUUACAUGAAAAAAGGGGAAAUAACGCUAGUUCUCAAAUUUGUGCACAUGCGCAACAUUAUGCAAGGAAUAAAAUCAGGUAGAGAACCUGGAAGCAAAGCUGGUUGCAUAGCAAUGGCAACAGUCCCUCUCCUCCCGACCCACCAGAAUUUCAUCACAGCUUCAUUUCCAUCUCCAAAAUGGGUAAUCUGAGCCUGAAUAUUAAAAAAAUGAGGACGUUAGAAGCAACAAGUUACAUCUGCAGGAACAGAAACAGGGAUUUGACUCAAGGUAGACCAUGUGGAGGUAACAGGAUACGUUGCUUUCAGCUGAAGUUCACAGGCUCAAGCAAAGCAUCUCUAAAUAAAGGAGAGAGUGGCAGGAAGAGGUCCAUGAAAUGAUGGUAACAGACUACCAAUAGAGCAAAGAACUGCCAACAUUGCAAGAUUUCCCCUCCACAGGACCUGGAAGACAGCUUCUUCGAAAUUGGCAUCCAUCACCAAAAUUCUGAGGCUCACCGGAUGGACCUC
rnacentral:lncRNA from 1 species